UACAGAGGUCUCGAGCGUUGUUCGGAUUCAUUGGGCGUAAAGGGCGCGUAGGCGGCGGGGUAAGUCUGGUGUGAAAUCUCGGAGCUCAACUCCGAAAUUGCACUGGAUACUGCUCUGCUAGAGGGCUGGAGAGGAGAUCGGAAUUCACGGUGUAGCAGUGAAAUGCGUAGAUAUCGUGAGGAAGACCAGUGGCGAAGGCGGAUCUCUGGACAGCUCCUGACACUGAGACACGAAGGCCAGGGGAGCAAACGGG
rnacentral:rRNA from 1 species